UCUCCUGGAAACGGGUGGUAAUGCCGGAUGCUCCAUCACACCGCAUGGUGUGUUGGGAAAGCCUUUGCGGCAUGGGAUGGGGUCGCGUCCUAUCAGCUUGAUGGCGGGGUAACGGCCCACCAUGGCUUCGACGGGUAGCCGGCCUGAGAGGGCGACCGGCCACAUUGGGACUGAGAUACGGCCCAGACUCCUACGGGAGGCAGCAGUGGGGAAUAUUGCACAAUGGGCGCAAGCCUGAUGCAGCGACGCCGCGUGAGGGAUGGAGGCCUUCGGGUUGUAAACCUCUUUUGUUAGGGAGCAAGGCAUUUUGUGUUGAGUGUACCUUUCGAAUAAGCACCGGCUAACUACGUGCCAGCAGCCGCGGUAAUACGUAGGGUGCAAGCGUUAUCCGGAAUUAUUGGGCGUAAAGGGCUCGUAGGCGGUUCGUCGCGUCCGGUGUGAAAGUCCAUCGCUUAACGGUGGAUUCGCGCCGGGUACGGGCGGGCUUGAGUGCGGUAGGGGAGACUGGAAUUCCCGGUGUAACGGUGGAAUGUGUAGAUAUCGGGAAAGAACACCA
rnacentral:rRNA from 1 species